GCCCAGACAGCCAGGAUGUUGGCUUAGAAGCAGCCAUCAUUUAAAGAAAGCGUAAUAGCUCACUGGUCGAGUCGGCCUGCGCGGAAGAUGUAACGGGGCUAAACCAUGCACCGAAGCUGCGGCAGCGAACGUAUCACCCAAGACAACUUUACGGAGUUGACGAUUGACGGAGCGAAGCGACGUCAAAGCGUUCAUUAAAGUCGAGUUGGCUUAGGGAUACGUUCGUUGGGUAGGGGAGCGUUCUGUAAGCCUGUGAAGGUGUGUCGUGAGGCAUGCUGGAGGUAUCAGAAGUGCGAAUGCUGACAUAAGUAACGAUAAAGCGGGUGAAAAGCCCGCUCGCCGGAAGACCAAGGGUUCCUGUCCAACGUUAAUCGGGGCAGGGUGAGUCGACCCCUAAGGCGAGGCCGAAAGGCGUAGUCGAUGGGAAACGGGUUAAUAUUCCCGUACUUGGUGUUACUGCGAAGGGGGGACGGAGAAGGCUAUGUUGGCCGGGCGACGGUUGUCCCGGUUUAAGCGUGUAGGUGUGUGUUCCAGGUAAAUCCGGUUCACUUUAACACUGAGGCGUGACGACGAGGCACUACGGUGCUGAAGCAACAAAUGCCCUGCUUCCAGGAAAAGCCUCUAAGCAUCAGGUAACAUCAAAUCGUACCCCAAACCGACACAGGUGGUCAGGUAGAGAAUACCAAGGCGCUUGAGAGAACUCGGGUGAAGGAACUAGGCAAAAUGGUGCCGUAACUUCGGGAGAAGGCACGCUGACACGUAGGUGAAGUGAUUUACUCAUGGAGCUGAAGUCAGUCGAAGAUACCAGCUGGCUGCAACUGUUUAUUAAAAACACAGCACUGUGCAAACACGAAAGUGGACGUAUACGGUGUGACGCCUGCCCGGUGCCGGAAGGUUAAUUGAUGGGGUCAGCGCAAGCGAAGCUCCUGAUCGAAGCCCCGGUAAACGGCGGCCGUAACUAUAACGGUCCUAAGGUAGCGAAAUUCCUUGUCGGGUAAGUUCCGACCUGCACGAAUGGCGUAAUGAUGGCCAGGCUGUCUCCACCCGAGACUCAGUGAAAUUGAACUCGCUGUGAAGAUGCAGUGUACCCGCGGCAAGACGGAAAGACCCCGUGAACCUUUACUAUAGCUUGACACUGAACAUUGAGCCUUGAUGUGUAGGAUAGGUGGGAGGCUUUGAAGUGUGGACGCCAGUCUGCAUGGAGCCGACCUUGAAAUACCACCCUUUAAUGUUUGAUGUUCUAACGUGGACCCGUAAUCCGGGUUGCGGACAGUGUCUGGUGGGUAGUUUGACUGGGGCGGUCUCCUCCUAAAGAGUAACGGAGGAGCACGAAGGUUGGCUAAUCCUGGUCGGACAUCAGGAGGUUAGUGCAAUGGCAUAAGCCAGCUUGACUGCGAGCGUGACGGCGCGAGCAGGUGCGAAAG
rnacentral:rRNA from 1 species